rnacentral:rRNA from 1 species
UACGUAGGGUGCAAGCGUUGUCCGGAAUUAUUGGGCGUAAAGAGCUCGUAGGCGGUUUGUCGCGUCUGCUGUGAAAACUCACAGCUCAACUGUGGGCGUGCGGGCGAUACGGGCAGACUGGAGUACUGCAGGGGAGACUGGAAUUCCUGGUGUAGCGGUGGAAUGCGCAGAUAUCAGGAGGAACACCGGUGGCGAAGGCGGGUCUCUGGGCAGUAACUGACGCUGAGGAGCGAAAGCGUGGGGAGCGAACAGG